rnacentral:rRNA from 1 species
AUAUCAAUAAGCGGAGGAAAAGAAACCAACAGGGAUUGCCUUAGUAACGGCGAGUGAAGCGGCAACAGCUCAAAUUUGAAAUCUGUCUCUUUUAGAGUCCGAGUUGUAAUUUGUAGAGGAUGUUUCGGGCGUGGUCCGGUCUAAGUUCCUUGGAACAGGACGUCAUAGAGGGUGAGAAUCCCGUAUGCGACUGGGUGCCUAAGCUCAUGUGAAACUCCUUCGACGAGUCGAGUUGUUUGGGAAUGCAGCUCAAAAUGGGUGGUAAAUUUCAUCUAAAGCUAAAUAUUGGCCAGAGACCGAUAGCGCACAAGUAGAGUGAUCGAAAGAUGAAAAGCACUUUGGAAAGAGAGUUAAACAGUACGUGAAAUUGUUGAAAGGGAAGCGCUUGCAACCAGACUUGCAUUCAGUUGAUCAUCCGGCGUUUUCACCGGUGCACUCGAUUGUUUUCAGGCCAGCAUCGGUUUUGGUGGUUGGAUAAAGGCCUUGGGAAUGUAGCUUCUUUCGGGGAGUGUUAUAGCCCUCGGUGCAAUGCAGCCUACCGGGACCGAGGACCGCGCUUCGGCUAGGAUGCUGGCGCAAUGGUUGUAAGCGA